rnacentral:rRNA from 1 species
AGAGUUUGAUCCUGGCUCAGAUUGAACGCUGGCGGAAUGCUUUACACAUGCAAGUCGAGCGGCAGCGCGGGGCAACCUGGCGGCGAGCGGCGAACGGGUGAGUAAUGCAUCGGAACAUGUCCAUGUCGUGGGGGAUAGCCCGGCGAAAGCCGGAUUAAUACCGCAUACGCCCGAGAGGGGAAAGUGGGGGACCGCAAGGCCUCACGCGAUUGGGUUGGCCGAUGUCCGAUUAGCUAGUUGGCGGGGUAAAGGCCCACCAAGGCGAUGAUCGGUAGCUGGUCUGAGAGGAUGAUCAGCCACACUGGGACUGAGACACGGCCCAGACUCCUACGGGAGGCAGCAGUGGGGAAUUUUGGACAAUGGGGGCAACCCUGAUCCAGCCAUUCCGCGUGAGUGAAGAAGGCCUUCGGGUUGUAAAGCUCUUUUGUCCGGAGCGAAACGGUGGCGGUGAAUAUCCGCCACUACUGACGGUACCGAAGAA